GACGAACGCUGGCGGCGUGCCUAAUACAUGCAAGUCGAACGAACCGCGGCGAGGUGCUUGCACUUGGUCAAGGUGAGGGGCGAACGGGUGAGUAACACGUGGGUAACCUACCUCAUAGUGGGGGAUAACAGUCGGAAACGACUGCUAAUACCGCAUAGGACAUAGGAUCACAUGAUCCAGUGAGGAAAGGUGGCGCAAGCUAUCGCUAAGAGAUGGACCCGCGGUGCAUUAGCUAGUUGGUAGGGUAAAGGCCUACCAAGGCGAGGAUGCAUAGCCGACCUGAGAGGGUGAUCGGCCACACUGGGACUGAGACACGGCCCAGACUCCUACGGGAGGCAGCAGUAGGGAAUCUUCCGCAAUGGACGAAAGCCUGACGGAGCAACGCCGCGUGAGUGAAGAAGGUCUUCGGAUCGUAAAGCUCUGUUGUUAGGGAAGAACAGCGCAUAGAGUAACUGUUAUGGGUUUGACGGUAUCUAACCAGAAAGCCACGGCUAACUACGUG
rnacentral:rRNA from 1 species